GGGCCAAUGGCGGAAUGGUAGACGCGCACGCUUCAGGAGCGUGUCCUGCGAGGGGUGGAGAUUCGACUUCUCUUUGGCCCA
rnacentral:tRNA from 1 species